rnacentral:lncRNA from 1 species
CAUCUCCUUGGGCCCGUGCUGCAGUACUGAUGGGUAAACACUGCCUGUGAGCCUGUCUUGUUUUUUAUUCAGUGUCUUUCCCAUAGCUACUAUGGGCCUGGAUCCAUAGGAGAAGGAAGUCCUUUGGCUCAUUGCAGCACUAAGCAUCACAGCUCUGCUUCUAAUCUUGGAAUUUAAGAGUUCUGUUGACCUGGAUUUUCAUUGCU